GAUGAAGAACGAAGCGAAAUGCGAUAAGUAAUGUGAAUUGCAGAAUUCAGUGAAUCAUCGAAUCUUUGAACGCACAUUGCGCCCGCCAGUAUUCUGGCGGGCAUGCCUGUCUGAGCGUCAUUUCAACCCUCAUGCCCCUAGGGCGUGGUGUUGGGGAUCGGCCAAAGCCCGCGAGGGACGGCCGGCCCCUAAAUCUAGUGGCGGACCCGUCGUGGCCUCCUCUGCGAAGUAGUGAUAUUCCGCAUCGGAGAGCGACGAGCCCCUGCCGUUAAACCCCCAACUUUCCAAGGUUGACCUCAGAUCAGGUAGGAAUACCCGCUGAACUUAAGCAUAUCAAUAAGCGGAGGA
rnacentral:misc_RNA from 1 species